UAACCAAGCUGACCUCCCGGUGGCUCAGCACUUCAACUCCCCCUCCCACUCCAUCUCCGACCUCUCUGUCCUGGGUCUCCUCCAUGGCCACAGCGAGCAGCACCGGAAAUUGGAGGAACAGCACCUCAUAUUCCGUUUGGGGAGUCUGCAUCCCGGGGGCAUGAACAUCGACUUCUCCCAAUUCUGUUAGUCCUUGCUGUCUCCUCCCCUUCCUCAGCUCCCCUGCUGUCUCCUCCCACCCUCCAGCCUUCCGGCUACUCCUCCUUUUCCCUUUCUUGUCCCCACCCACCCCCACCCCUGAUCAGUCUGAAGAAGGGUUUCGGCCCGAAACGUUGCCUAUUUCCUUCGCUCCAUAGAUGCUGCUGCACCCGCUGAGUUUCUCCAGCUUUUCUGUGUAACCUUCGAUUCUCCAGCAUCUGCAGUUCCCUCUUUAACACUUUGAUUCUAGCGAGCAGGAUAGAUCACUCGACGACAAUGACGUAGUACGGUCAUGGGCAGAUUCAUGUGUAAAUGGAUGAAAAAAAGGCCCGCGUUCAGCUCCGUUGCGUACUACACGUCAGCCCAUUGCAUUUAGCAGAUUUUAAUCUGAGUAUGAGUAAAAGAUUUGAAAGUGGUUCUAUCAAGCGCAAGAGAAAGAGACUUGAAAGAUACAGUAAAGAAGUUAAGACCGAUCACUGCUUUCUUGGAUCAGCCACUGACAGAGGCAACGUGCCAGCGGUGAAGCAGAUACAUUGAUACUAACACAGAAAUCAGUGUGGUGGAGCUAUCCAGCCAACUACUAGCAUUCAACCAGAAGAAAAUCUCCCUGAAACAGAAACAGCGAAGCACGACGUGGAACAGCAAGCUGAAUAUGAGAAAGCAGCCAUGAUGCCAGCUCAAAAUGAAAAUAUAGAACUAAUUCAGGAGUCACUUAUUGGACAGGGAGAGGCUGACAAGAAAUAAUGUGGCUAGUCAGAAUUUUCAUCACACACCUGGUAACGUAGGCCAAGUCAAAGGUAUUCCAGACUCAGAUAUAGAUGAUGCCAAACAUAGAUCUACUGUAACAGACGUUGGUUUGUGGACAGAAUUAUCACAUGAGGACGUAUCCUAUUGGGUAGAAAGGGGCCCCUCUCAAGUUCAGCAUCCUUGUGGACCAUUUUCAAAUUCCAAG